UCGAGCGAACGGAUGAGAAGCUUGCUUCUCUGAUGUUAGCGGCGGACGGGUGAGUAACACGUGGAUAACCUACCUAUAAGACUGGGAUAACUUCGGGAAACCGGAGCUAAUACCGGAUAAUAUUUUGAACCGCAUGGUUCAAAAGUGAAAGACGGUCUUGCUGUCACUUAUAGAUGGAUCCGCGCUGCAUUAGCUAGUUGGUAAGGUAACGGCUUACCAAGGCAACGAUGCAUAGCCGACCUGAGAGGGUGAUCGGCCACACUGGAACUGAGACACGGUCCAGACUCCUACGGGAGGCAGCAGUAGGGAAUCUUCCGCAAUGGGCGAAAGCCUGACGGAGCAACGCCGCGUGAGCGAUGAAGGUCUUCGGAUCGUAAAACUCUGUUAUUAGGGAAGAACAUAUGUGUAAGUAACUGUGCACAUCUUGACGGUACCUAAUCAGAAAGCCACGGCUAACUACGUGCCAGCAGCCGCGGUAAUACGUAGGUGGCAAGCGUUAUCCGGAAUUAUUGGGCGUAAAGCGCGCGUAGGCGGUUUUUUAAGUCUGAUGUGAAAGCCCACGGCUCAACCGUGGAGGGUCAUUGGAAACUGGAAAACUUGAGUGCAGAAGAGGAAAGUGGAAUUCCAUGUCUAGCGGUGAAAUGCGCAGAGAUAUGGAGGAACACCAGUGGCGAAGGCGACUUUCUGGUCUGUAACUGACGCUGAUGUGCGAAAGCGUGGGGAUCAAACAGGAUUAG
rnacentral:rRNA from 1 species